GUCAACAAUAUGAUAUGCCAGGGAACCAAUCAAACAUGAAAAUCUUGCUACAAGCAAAAACAAUUACAUUCAAAUCAAUUCCUAGAAGUAGCAUCAAACUAAUUUGUUCAGGUUCCUGGAUAAAACACCUCUUCACCAGGCAUUAGAUUCAUCAGUCAUGUUAUGUGUGACUUCAGCAAUGUUUUAGUCUUAAUUGGUAACAGUGUUACUAUUGUACACAGGAGGUAACAGUACACAAAAAAGUUCCAUGCAAGAGCAGAGAUGAGCGCCACAAACCCUACUUGUCCAGCCACUUGCAAUUUUUUUAUGUCAUUUUUUUCCCUUUUCUGAUAAAAAUUCUAAUCUCGUCACUGGAAUACAUAUAAUCAAUCAGUAAUUAAAGAAACAACCAACCAAGGCCAGAAGCACAAGAAGUCUUUGCAGAAAUCAAAGCUAACCAGUACAAUGACAGCAUCCAUAUAUAGCAUAAUAUAUUGCACCAGGCACAAAGCAAGCAAGCAAAAUUGAGGUUUGUUCCCUCUGGGAACCUCAUCAAAAGUAGCUCAAGCUUGGAUCUGAGAGCUUGAGAAAUCAAUAUUAUAAAAGUAGCUAAAGCUUGGGAUCUGUUGAAGAGAAGAGCUUGACAAGCUCUGAACAGAUUUUAGGCUCCUCAUCAAAUGCAUAAAUAACACUGGAAAGAGCCAUGCACUCAGAACUUUUUCUUGGUCAUUGCACACCACUAUUUGUAUAAAACACUCAAAAAAUUUUUUUUUCAUAUUUUAUAUAUAAAACACUUUCUGUUAAAAACUUUUUUCCUAGACUGAGCCGUUACUAUUUAAUAUCAACACAAUCCAUUGAUUAAAUACAACUCUCGAGAUUUUGCAAAAUGCACCCCUAAUGCCUGUGCUAAAAGAAUAAAUUGCAACUUCUGGACAUUUAAACAAAGCACACAAAAUCCAUAAACAACAUAUUCAAGGAAAUAACAAAACAUUAACAACAGUGAAAAUAACUCCAGCACAUACCUGGCCCAUUCGAAGGUACACUUUGGUGUAACCAACUUCAUACAUUUCAGGGAAGAAAUUAAAUUUUUUGAGAAUAGCAACUGACAUGCUUAGUGG